rnacentral:rRNA from 1 species
UGGGGAAUAUUGCACAAUGGGCGCAAGCCUGAUGCAGCCAUGCCGCGUGUAUGAAGAAGGCCUUCGGGUUGUAAAGUACUUUCAGCGGGGAGGAAGGUGUUGAGGUUAAUAACCUCAGCAAUUGACGUUACCCGCAGAAGAAGCACCGGCUAACUCCGUGCCAGCAGCCGCGGCAAUACGGAGGGUGCAAGCGUUAAUCGGAAUUACUGGGCGUAAAGCGCACGCAGGCGGUCUGUCAAGUCGGAUGUGAAAUCCCCGGGCUCAACCUGGGAACUGCAUUCGAAACUGGCAGGCUAGAGUCUUGUAGAGGGGGGUAGAAUUCCAGGUGUAGCGGUGAAAUGCGUAGAGAUCUGGAGGAAUACCGGUGGCGAAGGCGGCCCCCUGGACAAAGACUGACGCUCAGGUGCGAAAGCGUGGGGAGCAAACA